rnacentral:rRNA from 1 species
UACGAAGGGUGCAAGCGUUACUCGGAAUUACUGGGCGUAAAGCGUGCGUAGGUGGUGAGUUAAGUCUGUCGUGAAAGCCCGGGCCUCAACCUGGGAAUGGCGAUGGAUACUGGCUCGCUAGAGUGCGGUAGAGGAGAGUGGAAUUCCCGGUGUAGCAGUGAAAUGCGUAGAGGUCGGGGAGGAACAUCAGUUGCGAAGGCGGCUCUCUGGACCAGCACUGACACUGAGGCACGAAAGCGUGGGGAGCAAACAGG